rnacentral:rRNA from 1 species
UCUGGUUGAUCCUGCCAGAGGUUACUGCUAUCGAGGUUCGACUAAGCCAUGCGAGUCGAAUGUAGCAAUACAUGGCGAACUGCCCAGUAACACGUGGACAACCUGCCCUUAGGUUGGGUAUAAACCCGGGAAACUGGGUAUAAUACCCGAUAGGUCUCGAUUGCUGGAAUGCAUCGAGAUUUAAAGCUCCGGCGCCUAAGGAUGGGUCUGCGGCCUAUCAGGUAGUAGUGGGUGUAGCGUACCUACUAGCCUACGACGGGUACGGGUUGUGAGAGCAAGAGCCCGGAGAUGGAUUCUGAGACACGAAUCCAGGCCCUACGGGGUGCAGCAGGCGCGAAAACUUUACAAUGCUGGCAACAGCGAUAAGGGAACCUCGAGUGCCAGGUUACAAAUCUGGCUGUCGAGAUGCCUAAAAAGCAUUUCAUAGCAAGGGCCGGGCAAGACCGGUGCCAGCCGCCGCGGUAACACCGGCGGCUCGAGUGGUAACCGUUAUUAUUGGGUCUAAAGGGUCUGUAGCCGGCCGGAUAAGUCUCUUGAGAAAUCUGGCAGCUUAACUGUCAGGCUUUCAGGAGAUACUGUCUGGCUCGAGGCCGGGAGAGGUGAGAGGUACUUCAGGGGUAGGGGUGAAAUCUUGUAAUCCUUGAAGGACCACCAGUGGCGAAGGCGUCUCACCAGAACGGACCUGACGGCAAGGGACGAAAGCUAGGGGCACGAACCGGAUUAGAUACCCGGGUAGUCCUAGCCGUAAACGAUACUCGCUAGGUGUCGGCCACGGUGCGACCGUUGUCGGUGCCGUAGGGAAGCCGUGAAGCGAGCCACCUGGGAAGUACGGCCGCAAGGCUGAAACUUAAAGGAAUUGGCGGGGGAGCACCACAACGGGUGGAGCUUGCGGUUUAAUUGGAUUCAACGCCGGA